rnacentral:rRNA from 1 species
ACUGAACGCUGGCGGCAUGCUUUACACAUGCAAGUCGAACGGUAACAGGGAGCUUGCUCCGCUGACGAGUGGCGAACGGGUGAGUAAUGCGUCGGAACGUGCCGAGUAGUGGGGGAUAACGCAGCGAAAGUUGUGCUAAUACCGCAUACGUACUGAGGUAGAAAGUGGGGGACGUUCGGGCCUCACGCUAUUCGAGCGGCCGACGUCUGAUUAGCUAGUUGGUGAGGUAAAGGCUCACCAAGGCGACGAUCAGUAGCGGGUCUGAGAGGAUGAUCCGCCACACUGGGACUGAGACACGGCCCAGACUCCUACGGGAGGCAGCAGUGGGGAAUUUUGGACAAUGGGCGCAAGCCUGAUCCAGCCAUGCCGCGUGUCUGAAGAAGGCCUUCGGGUUGUAAAGGACUUUUGUCCGGGAGCAAAUACCCAGUGCUAAUAACGCUGGGGGCUGAGAGUACCGGAAGAAUAAGCACCGGCUAGCUACGUGCCAGCAGCCGCGGUAAUAC